GAUCCAAAUCCUACCCGCUUACGCCCUCAUAGCUCGCGCCCCAUGCUUUGCGACUUCUACCGCAGGCGAGGUUAAGGCUUCUUUGGGGCUUUCGUGGGGUUGGUGAGAAAAAUAGCGAUGGCAUCUCCGGCGACUAGUUCGGGGCUCUUCAAGUUCUUGCAGCCGCGCCUCCGCCCUCAAUCGACGGACAUCGUUUCCGCCGCCACCUGGGGAGUCGCCGCCACCGCCUCCGCCGUCUGGCUCAUUCAGCCUUUUGAUUGGUUGAAGCAGCUGCUAUUUGAGAAACCAGAGGAGUAAAUUCAGUUUUGGCAUUCACUACGGGAAAUUUGGGACCCUAGUAAAGAUGUCCAUUUUAUGUUUCAGUUUCUUUGAGAAGGAAAUCAAAUGCCAGGAUGGCCUGAAUAAAAAUAACGUUCUGUUUGUAGAGCUUCUGUGAUGACAGUGACUCUGUUUUUAAUGGAUUAAUGUUCCAUAUUUUUGAACAAUCUCCUGUUUAUAAGUUCCAGACUCUGUGCUGAAAGGGUAAUGGUUGAUUUAUGCA